rnacentral:rRNA from 1 species
UACGUAGGGUGCGAGCGUUAAUCGGAAUUACUGGGCGUAAAGCGUGCGCAGGCGGUUCGUUGUGUCGGCGGUGAAAGCCCCCGGCUCAACUGGGGAGGGUCAUUCGAUACUGUUCGACUCGAAGGCAGGAGAGGGAAGUGGAAUUCCCGGUGUAGUGGUGAAAUGCGUAGAUAUCGGGAGGAACACCAGUGGCGAAGGCGACUUCCUGGCCUGUUCUUGACGCUGAGGCGCGAAGGCCAGGGGAGCAAACGGG